rnacentral:rRNA from 1 species
AAAGGGCGCGUAGGCGGGUUUGUAAGUCGACUGUGAAAUUCCUGGGCUCAACCCAGGGGCUGCAGUCGAAACUGCAAGUCUUGAAUGUCUGAGAGGGAGGUAGAAUUCCAGGUGUAGAAGUGAAAUUCGUAGAUAUCUGGAGGAACACCCGAGGCGAAGGCGACCUCCUGGCAGAACAUUGACGCUAAGGCGCGAAAGCGUGGGUAGCAAACAGGAUUAGAUACCCUGGU